ACUCCUACGGGAGGCAGCAGUGGGGAAUAUUGCACAAUGGGCGCAAGCCUGAUGCAGCCAUGCCGCGUGUGUGAAGAAGGCCUUCGGGUUGUAAAGCACUUUCAGUCGUGAGGAAGGCGGGUACGUUAAUAGCGUAUUCGUUUGACGUUAGCGACAGAAGAAGCACCGGCUAACUCCGUGCCAGCAGCCGCGGUAAUACGGAGGGUGCGAGCGUUAAUCGGAAUUACUGGGCGUAAAGCGCAUGCAGGUGGUUUGUUAAGUCAGAUGUGAAAGCCCGGGGCUCAACCUCGGAAUAGCAUUUGAAACUGGCAGACUAGAGUACUGUAGAGGGGGUUAGAAUUUCAGGUGUAGCGGUGAAAUGCGUAGAGAUCUGAAGGAAUACCGGUGGCGAAGGCGGCCCCUGGACAGAUACUGACACUCAGAUGCGAAAGCGUGGGAGCAAACAGGAUUAGAUACCCCGUGGUAGGACAGUG
rnacentral:rRNA from 1 species